rnacentral:rRNA from 1 species
AACGAACGCUGGCGGCAUGCCUAACACAUGCAAGUCGAACGAGACCUUCGGGUCUAGUGGCGCACGGGUGCGUAACGCGUGGGAAUCUGCCCUUGGGUUCGGAAUAACAGUUGGAAACGACUGCUAAUACCGGAUGAUGACGUAAGUCCAAAGAUUUAUCGCCCAGGGAUGAGCCCGCGUAGGAUUAGCUAGUUGGUGGGGUAAAGGCCUACCAAGGCGACGAUCCUUAGCUGGCCUGAGAGGAUGAUCAGCCACACUGGGACUGAGACACGGCCCAGACUCCUACGGGAGGCAGCAGUGGGGAAUAUUGGACAAUGGGCGAAAGCCUGAUCCAGCAAUGCCGCGUGAGUGAUGAAGGCCUUAGGGUUGUAAAGCUCUUUUACCCGGGAUGAUAAUGACAGUACCGGGAGAAUAAGCCCCGGCUAACUCCGUG